AUUUUUUUAGUAUUUAAAGAACAGUCGGGCAAGCAAGUCAAAAGCCGCUGCGAGAGCGACAGCCAGAGCCACAGCGAAUAAGGCAAACAUUUAAAAAAUCUCAUUAAAAUUGGCUUGGCAAAGAAGGAAUAUCUGUAAUACCCUAGAUCUAGACUUACACACCCAUUCACCAUCACACACACACACACACAAACACAUACACAUUGAGAGAGCUGUAAAGAAGCAGCAGCUAAAAUGCCCGUCUUUCACACAAAAACCAUCGAGAGCAUAUUAGAUCCUGUUGCACAGCAGCUAUAACAAGCCAGCAAAUUGGCGCC